GCCAGGCUUGGUGGUGCAUGCCUGUAGUCCCAGUUACUCAGGAGGCUGAGACAGGAGAAUUGCUUGAACCCAGGAGGCAGAGGUUGCAGUGAGCCAAGAUCACGCCACUGCACUCUAGCCUGGGUGACAGAGCGAGACUCUGUCUCAA
ensembl:misc_RNA Metazoa_SRP Metazoan signal recognition particle RNA